ACGUGACGGUGCUAUAAUUA
rnacentral:siRNA from 1 species